rnacentral:piRNA from 1 species
AGGCACUGUGAACUACCAUAUUUACU